rnacentral:rRNA from 1 species
GAUGAACGCUAGCUACAGGCUUAACACAUGCAAGUCGCGGGGCAGCAUGGGGGUUGCUUGCAAUCCCCGAUGGCGACCGGCGCACGGGUGAGUAACGCGUAUCCAACCUGCCCUUCACCACGGGAUAACCCGGCGAAAGUCGGACUAAUACCUUAUGUUGUCCAUUGACGGCAUCCGAUUUGGACGAAAGGUUUGGCGGUGAAGGUUGGGGAUGCGUCCGAUUAGCUGGACGGCGGGGUGACGGCCCACCGUGGCGACGAUCGGUAGGGGUUCUGAGAGGAAGGUCCCCCACACUGGAACUGAGACACGGUCCAGACUCCUACGGGAGGCAGCAGUGAGGAAUAUUGGUCAAUGGGCGUAAGCCUGAACCAGCCAAGUAGCGUGCAGGAUGACGGCCCUAUGGGUUGUAAACUGCUUUUAUGCGGGGAUAAAGUGGCCCACGUGUGGGUUUUUGCAGGUACCGCAUGAAUAAGGACCGGCUAAUUCCGUG